UACGAAGGGGGCUAGCGUUGCUCGGAAUCACUGGGCGUAAAGGGUGCGUAGGCGGGUCUUUAAGUCAGGGGUGAAAUCCUGGAGCUCAACUCCAGAACUGCCUUUGAUACUGAAGAUCUUGAGUUCGGGAGAGGUGAGUGGAACUGCGAGUGUAGAGGUGAAAUUCGUAGACAUUCGCAAGAACACCAGUGGCGAAGGCGGCUCACUGGCCCGGUACUGACGCUGAGGCACGAAAGCGUGGGGAGCAAACAGG
rnacentral:rRNA from 1 species